AGAGCGAACGCUGGCGGCAGGCUUAACACAUGCAAGUCGAGCGGGCGUAGCAAUACGUCAGCGGCAGACGGGUGAGUAACGCGUGGGAACGUACCUUUUGGUUCGGAACAACCCAGGGAAACUUGGGCUAAUACCGGAUAAGCCCUUACGGGGAAAGAUUUAUCGCCGAAAGAUCGGCCCGCGUCUGAUUAGCUAGUUGGUGAGGUAAUGGCUCACCAAGGCGACGAUCAGUAGCUGGUCUGAGAGGAUGAUCAGCCACAUUGGGACUGAGACACGGCCCAAACUCCUACGGGAGGCAGCAGUGGGGAAUAUUGGACAAUGGGCGCAAGCCUGAUCCAGCCAUGCCGCGUGAGUGAUGAAGGCCCUAGGGUUGUAAAGCUCUUUUGUGCGGGAAGAUAAUGACGGUACGCAAGAAUAAGCCCCGGCUAACUUCGCGCCAGCAGCCGC
rnacentral:rRNA from 1 species